AGAGUUUGAUCAUGGCUCAGGAUGAACGCUAGCGGCAGGCCUAAUACAUGCAAGUCGAACGAAGCAGCAAUGCUUAGUGGCGCACGGUGCGUAACACGUAUGUAACCUACCUUUUACUGGGGGAUAACUUCUCGAAAGAGAAGCUAAUACCGCAUAAUACAUUAAAGUCACCUGAUUUAAAUGUUAAAGAUUUAUUGGUAAAAGAUGGGCAUGCGUCCAAUUAGCUAGUUGGUAGUGUAACGGACUACCAAGGCUACGAUUGUAGGGGGUCGUGAGAGGAUGGUCCCCCACCACUGGUACUGAGAUACGGACCAGACUCCUACGGGAGGCAGCAGUAGGGAAUAUUGGGCAAUGGACGAAAGUCUGACCCAGCCAUGCCGCGUGCAGGAUGAAGGCCCUCUGGGUUGUAAACUGCUUUUGACAGGGAAGAAAUACACCAUGCGUGGUGGGCUGACGGUACCUGUAGAAUAAGCACCGGCUAACUCCGUG
rnacentral:rRNA from 1 species